GUCCCAGCCCUAAACGGUGUGCACUUGGUGUGGGAGGAAUUAUCCCCUUCCGUGCCGUAGCUAACGCGAUAAGUGCACCGCCUGGGGAGUACGGCCGCAAGGCUAAAACUCAAAGGAAUUGACGGGGCCCGCACAAGCGGUGGAGCAUGUGGCUUAAUUCGAUGCAACGCGAAGAACCUUACCUGGGCUUGACAUGUAACUGCACGCCUCGGGAAAACCGGGGAAGCCUUCGAGGGUGUUACACAGGUGCUGCAUGGCUGUCGU
rnacentral:rRNA from 1 species